AAUACCACCUCAGAAACUCAGUCCUGACACUGAAGCUGUGGGCCACACACACCCCACAUAUAAAUACACCAGAAGAGUUAAUAGCCUGGUGAUGAGGCAUGCAAUGGGAGGCAGAAGGCUCACACCGAAGCCCUUCUUCCAUUGACCUCAUGCCACCGGUCUGUCUUCUAGGGCUGCGUGAAAACUGCCUGAAUACAAAGUAUAAAGUGGGAAAUACUCACACUGUACAUGGAGAUUCAAACUAUGAAGGUAUUUUAGGGACCUUUCUCUUUCAUUUUGAAUCAAUAUUUUAUUCUGGACCUAAGAAGUCAUUUCUUUCUGGACAUUUUAUCAAAAGUGAGCCAUUCCCAUGAAAGUUUCCAUUUCUAUAAAUUAACAUUUCUUCUAGUAUGGAGUGAACUUCCAUUUUGCACUGCUUUGUAGAAUUAUGCAACUCUUUGCCAUAAAGAGUCUUUGUCAGCUGGGGUCCCAGUCUGGUGUUGAGGGAGAUGACACAUUCUUGUAGAUAUGAUACUUGGACUCAGAAAGUUUUGGCUUACGAAGCAUUUGGUUCAUUUUCAGACUGUUGAGGGACUGGGGCUAGUUCACUUCCCUUUUCCUCAUACUGUCCUCCUUGAAAAAUGAGAGUGCUGGUACUGAUCUUAUUCUUAUUGUGCUUCAGAAUGUACAGAUGGAAAUGCUAUAAGUGUAUUUUAUGUAUAUGCUUUAUGCAUAUUCUAAGGCAACAUUCUGUAUCAGCAAGAUUCAAAGAUUGGGCUUUUCUAAGCAUUUAAUUUGAUUGGCACUCUUGAAUAACUGGACCAUGUAGAUGAGGUACAUUAUAAUGUCUUUGUGCUGGAAGCAAGAACUUGAUCCAUAGGAGUGCAUCACCUAUGGGUCCUUUACGUUUUGCUUGGAAAAUGGCAUAGUUUAUCCUGAAACCAGUCCUGUGUUACUGAGUAGGCAUCUGAUCUGAGACAUCCCUGUUGACUGCAGCCUGCCCUCUAGAUUCGUAGAACAGUUACAUGUCCAGUCCAUGAAUAUGGUCAGGCUAUUCUGUCUUCACUCAUAGUUUUGUAGUUGUCUUUGUUUGCUAUUGUGAAGUGCAGCUUUGGCUGCUGUGAAUGGGGGCGGUGUGUCCUGUCAGUUUACAUCAACUGAUGAUUUUGCCUAAUGAUUUCCCUCUCCCUACUCUUUUCCUCGGGGUGACACCUUAUGGGUGGUGUUGACUCCAGAGCAGUUGCCCCACGUUAACACAUAAGGCUUUAUGCAGGCAUUGGGCAGUGAACUAUGCUAUCCUUUCAAGAUACAGUGUUGUUUUACCUAUUUAUGUCUCUUCCUGAAAUUGUGAGCAUGUCCACCUAUCUAAUAAAAAAAACAAAAAGAUGGCUCUUUCGUAUGCUGGUGAAAAGCUUUUCAUAUAUUUAUGUUAAAGUAACAUAAUUCAGUUUAUCGUAAACAUGUAAAAACCAUCGGGUUUGGUUAUUUUUCAUGUUAAUGUCUAAAUCGAUGUUCUGUCUCUCAUUAUAAUUUUUGUUUAUGUGUUUGUUCUCUCCAGACACAGGUACUGUAGUUUUUAGGUAUCAAUUAAUCUUUAUUCCUCUCUCACAAACAAAAAUCAUGUUACUAUGAUAUCCUGCAGCUCUCUGUUGUUUACAUAGUAUUAGCACAGGGAAAUACUACUUUCAGUUUGAUACAUAAUGCCCUCCUUGUCUCUUGUGCCUUUUGUCUGUAGGCUAUUAUGCAUGUGAGUAAAACCAUGCAUGACUUGAGCAAAUGUUUGAAUAGGGUUCUUGUGCAGUAGGGCUGUAUAAGCCAUUAGGCAUACUCUCUUUAACUUGGUGAUGAAAACAUCGUGGUACAUUUGGUGGCACAAAAUAGAGUAAAAUUGCUUUUGUGGCAGCAGAAUAAAUAGCAUUCUAAUUUGGUUUUGUUAUUGUGUACGUGCAUGUGCUUCAUACUUCUGGCAAAACUAUCAAGCAGGACCAAGCAUGAAACAUGUUAAGGUUAUUAGAGUUGUGGAGUGAAAGCUGAGCUGGAAAGAGAAAAAAACUGUAUUGCUUUUUUCAUUUUGAAAUUUGAAAUCAAUGUUAUUCUGUAAUGUUUGUGCUCUGAGCCCUGAAAUCUGUUAAUAGGCACGUGAGGCUGUCGCUAACCAUCUUUUCUAUGUAUAAAGCCUUUUGUAAGAAUAUUGGUUUUCUUUUCUCUAUAUAUGUGCUGAAUACUAUGACAGGGACUUGAAUUUUUGCUGUGGGAAUGUGAAAAACAUGGGAAGCCGCUCUCUGCCAAGCUAUUUCCUUAAGGAUCCACUUUACAUACUGCCAGAUCAAUGACUUGUCAGGUGUAGUUAUGUGCCAUAGCAAUGAUCUGAGGUCAAUGAGAUGAAACCAAGAUAUUAUGAAGUUGUCUGUUGAUUUUCUGAGCUGCAAGACCAGUGCUGAAUCAUUUCAACAACUGUACUUUAUGUUUCAAAAACAUGUAAAAAAAUUACAGUUCUUCGAACAGAAGAAGCAGAGAUCUGGUUCCACAAUGGAGCACUGGAAAAAUAACACAAAGGUGGGAUGUAAGACGAUAGCCUCAUCCUUUAAUGGGGGAACAUUUGUGGCUAACUUAUAAAGUUGAUACACAAUUUGAGGAAACGAGCAUCCCACCCAUUUUUCUUUGUGUGUUCCAUAGAAUUCACAUCCUUCCAUUUUUGUUUUUUGUUUCCUUGAAUUGUGCCUCAUAACUUAUUGUCAUUGCUCAUUAGCUGUUGAUGUGUUAGGAGGGUUGUCCAGACAGUGACACUGCAUGGAAAUAGCUGAGUAGUUCAGAAAACAGAUUCAUAAUUCACGAUGACCUUUAAUGAAAUGCAAAUCUAAAGAAAGCUGCUUUCAGUUUACCACAUCUGAAACAAAAUGAGAACUAUUAUUUUCUUUAGUCUUUGCUGUCAUGAUAUAUAGAUACUCUAACGCAGAGGAAACAUAUCUUAGCAUGCAAGCCUGCUUUUAUCAUUCUUUUGGUGAAUGGGAUGUAUCCUUUGAACUCUUUUCCUUCUGACCAUCAGAUUUAGGGCCUGGUUGAUCAGCUCUCAGCCAGGGCUGCUACAUGGUUUGACAGGCAAUCCUGGGAGCCACAACGUGUUUCCAUCUUACCCCAUUCGCCUGGAAGGGAAGCGCUCUGUGUAGCUCUGAAUGCAGGACUGUUUGUAUCUUCCCUUUCUAACUCCUCCCUGUUUUCCCAACAGCAGCAAGAAAAUACCAGAUCCAGACUCCUUUCUCCAUCCUACCAUGCCAGAGCCACACCACUGUAGCAGUUUGGGUUGCUCCAAACCAGCUGGCAAAGAAAAGUAUCCAUAUGACAGCCGUGCGGGAUGGCAAGGCGGGGGUGGGGGCUGGAGAGGACUACACUCUCCAGGGUAGCUGCGUUUGGGCAAGCUGCAAUCUGGUCCUCAGCAUGCACCUGCCUGCAGCAAGGGUCUGACAGCAUCACUGCCAAGGGAGAGCCCGCAGGAGGGCAGAAAGCACUGGGGGCCACAUCCUCAGCUGCUGCUCUGCUCCAGCAGGGCAAUGAAAGCCAGUCCUGCUUUCAUCAGGUGAGGAACCAAGCCCAAAGGCUAACUCAGUGAAUUUUUCCCCAAUCCAGUUUAUCAGAGGGUGAAAUUAGCCUCUCCCCGCAGACAAACAUACUGCCAAGACCGAGCACUUGCCUCUCCAGAGCACAUGCCUCUCCUGGAGCCUUUCUCUCCACUCCCAGGGCUGCUCAGUGCCCUACCCUCUGCAGCUUCAUGCUACUCAGCUGUGUUUUCCUUCUCCAAACCCCUGUAGAGAGGGGUUGUGCUGGCUGCUCACCUCUCUGCAGAAGACACUGCACCCUGCCCUGCCCUCCCUGAGGUGGAUUUUGUCCAGGUGCUGUAGCCCAAACGACAGCUUGUGGGGAUACUGGGGCAAAACACUGCCUGUCAGGCCUAUCAAGGGACUCUGUUUUACACAUUUGGCCCUGAAUGGGGAAUAAAUGUUCAUCAAAGUGACAAAAGAGGUGCUAUCCUAUUGCCUUACACAGAUGGGAAACCUACUUGCUUUGGCCAUAUUGCUUUUGAGCAAUUCCCCUAGUUCAUCUGCAUAAAAAUAUCUGUCCCAUGAGCCUUAGAUCUCCUAUGGGCAGCUCAUUUGGGACACUUCACAAAUCUGUCUGAUGGACACUUACUGUAUACAUCUGGCUUGCUCAUAUUUCUAAAACUGAGCAAAGGACUUCUUUAUUAGUGACUGUUCCCUCCACUUGCGUGGAACGGCGUUGGUUACCCAAGAAGGAAUGCCUGCCGUGCUGAAAAAUGGGGAAGAUAAUCGUCUGCAGCUUGAAAAUGGAGCUGUGUCACAGCACUUGUUCAGUCGCAUUACAAAUAAAGCCAGGAUGGCAGGAGUAGAGACAGACCAGAGUGUAUAAGAUAGUUUUAUGUUGAGUGAAAUUUAAGACCUACUACUGGAAAUAAAUGCUUCCUUCACAAUGCGGGAGCAAGGAAGGGAGAACAUAUUUUCUGAGCAAAUUGCAAAAGUUCAGGAAAUUCUUGGCUCACCAUUUGUUCCAAGUGAUUUAAAAGAGAAGGAAGAGACUCUAUCCAGCAUAAAUCAUAUUUUAAAGAAUUUCCCAAUAUUGCUUCCUGUCUUUGUGCUUGGGCAGCAGAUUGUGUACAGAAAUAAACCAAAUUUGCUUUAUCUUUUCAGAAGAAA